AAGGUACUCCCUCCGUCUGAAAAUAUUUAUCAGCAAAAUAAAUGUAUUUAGACAUAUUUUAGUUUUAGAUACAUCCAUUUUUAUCCAUUUAUGUGCCAAGUAUUUUUGGACGGAGGGAGUAUUUG
rfam:Triticum aestivum genome assembly, contig: Triticum_aestivum_CS42_TGACv1_scaffold_405034_5BL